rnacentral:rRNA from 1 species
UGGGGAAUAUUGCACAAUGGGGUAAACCCUGAUGCAGCGACGCCGCGUGAACGAAGAAGGUAUUCGUAUCGUAAAGUUCUGUCCUAUGGGAAGAUAAUGACAGUACCAUAGAAGAAAGCUCCGGCUAAAUACGUGCCAGCAGCCGCGGUAAUACGUAUGGAGCGAGCGUUGUCCGGAAUUAUUGGGCGUAAAGGGUACGCAGGCGGUUUAAUAAGUCGAAUGUUAAAGAUCGGGGCUCAACCCCGCAAAGCAUUGGAAACUGAUAAACUUGAGUAGUGGAGAGGAAAGUGGAAUUCCUAGUGUAGUGGUGAAAUACGUAGAUAUUAGGAGGAAUACCAGAAGCGAAGGCGAGUUUCUGGACACAAACUGACGCUGAGGUACGAAAGCGUGGGGAGCAAACAGG